rnacentral:rRNA from 1 species
GACGAACGCUGGCGGCAUGCCUAAUACAUGCAAGUCGAGCGAACAGAUGAAGUGCUUGCACUUUUGACGUUAGCGGCGAACGGGUGAGUAACACGUAAGGAAUCUACCUAUAAGCGGGGGAUAACAUUCGGAAACGGGUGCUAAUACCGCAUAAUAUCUUCUUCCGCAUGGAAGAAGAUUGAAAGACGGCUCUGCUGUCACUUAUAGAUGACCUUGCGGUGCAUUAGUUAGUUGGUGGGGUAACGGCCUACCAAGACGAUGAUGCAUAGCCGACCUGAGAGGGUGAUCGGCCACAGUGGGACUGAGACACGGCCCAAACUCCUACGGGAGGCAGCAGUAGGGAAUCUUCCGCAAUGGGCGAAAGCCUGACGGAGCAAUGCCGCGUGAGUGAAGAAGGCCUUCGGGUCGUAAAACUCUGUUAUAAGAGAAGAACAAAUUGUAGAGUAACUGCUACAGUCUUGACGGUAUCUUAUCAGAAAGCCACGGCUAACUACGUGCCAGCAGCCGCCGUAA